UUCUCAACAUCACGAACCGUUUC
rnacentral:snRNA from 1 species